rnacentral:rRNA from 1 species
CCUACGGGGGGCUGCAGUAGGGAAUAUUGGACAAUGGGGGCAACCCUGAUCCAGCCAUGCCGCGUGAGUGAAGAAGGCCCUCGGGUUGUAAAGCUCUUUUGUCCGGAAAGAAAAGCAAUCGGUUAAUACCCGGUUGUUCUGACGGUACCGGAAGAAUAAGCACCGGCUAACUUCGUUCCAGCAGACGCGGUAAUACGAAGGGUGCAAGCGUUACUCGGAACUAGUGGGGGUAAUUCGUGCGUACUGGUGUGAAAGCCCUGGGCUCAACCUGGGAAUGGCAUUGGAUACUGGCGAGCUAGAGUGCGGUAGAGGGUAGUGGAAUUCCCGGUGUAGCAGUGAAAUGCGUAGAGAUCGGGAGGAACAUCUGUGGCGAAGGCGACUGCCUGGACCAGCACUGACACUGAGGCACGAAAGCGUGGGGAGCAAACAGGAUUAGAUACCCGGGUAGUC